rnacentral:rRNA from 1 species
UACGAAGGGGGCUAGCGUUGUUCGGAAUUACUGGGCGUAAAGCGCGCGUAGGCGGCCAUUUAAGUCGGACGUGAAAUCCCUCAGCUCAACUGAGGACGUGCAUCCGAAACUGGCGAGCUUGAGUACUGAAGAGGAUCGCGGAAUUCCCGGUGUAGAGGUGAAAUUCGUAGAUAUCGGGAGGAACACCGGUGGCGAAGGCGGCGAUCUGGGUAGAUACUGACGCUGAGGUGCGAAAGCGUGGGGAGCGAACAGG